rnacentral:rRNA from 1 species
GAUAAACGCUGGCGGCGUGCCUAAUACAUGCAAGUCGAGCGAACAGACAAGGAGCUUGCUCCUCUGACGUUAGCGGCGGACGGGUGAGUAACACGUGGAUAACCUACCUAUAAGACUGGGAUAACUUCGGGAAACCGGAGCUAAUACCGGAUAAUAUAUUGAACCGCAUGGUUCAAUAGUGAAAGACGGUUUUGCUGUCACUUAUAGAUGGAUCCGCGCCGCAUUAGCUAGUUGGUAAGGUAACGGCUUACCAAGGCAACGAUGCGUAGCCGACCUGAGAGGGUGAUCGGCCACACUGGAACUGAGACACGGUCCAGACUCCUACGGGAGGCAGCAGUAGGGAAUCUUCCGCAAUGGGCGAAAGCCUGACGGAGCAACGCCGCGUGAGUGAUGAAGGUCUUCGGAUCGUAAAACUCUGUUAUUAGGGAAGAACAAAUGUGUAAGUAACUAUGCACGUCUUGACGGUACCUAAUCAGAAAGCCACGGCUAACUACGU